rnacentral:rRNA from 1 species
UCAAGCUACAAAGGGCGCAUGGUGAAUGCCUUGGCAUCAGGAGCCGAUGAAGGACGUGAUAAGCUGCGAUAAGCUUCGGGUAGGCGCACAUAGCCUGAGAUCCGAAGAUUUCCGAAUGAGGAAACUCACAUGGGAAACCCCAUGUAUCAUUAAGUGAAUACAUAGCUUAAUGAAGGUAACCCAGGGAACUGAAACAUCUAAGUACCUGGAGGAAGAGAAAGAAAAAUCGAUUUUCUUAGUAGCGGCGAGCGAAAGGGAAAGAGCCCAAACCGGAAACUUGUUUCCGGGGUUGUGGACAUAACAUAAAAGUGGAGGCUAUUGUAACUGAAGAGAACUGGAAAGUUCCACCGUAGAAGGUAAUAGUCCUGUAAGUGAAACGAGAAGACCACGAGUUAUGAUCCAGAGUACCACGAGACACGUGAAACCUUGUGGGAAGCAGGGAGGACCACCUCCCAAGGCUAAAUACUACCUGAUGACCGAUAGUGAAGCAGUACCGUGAGGGAAAGGUGAAAAGAACCCCGGGAGGGGAGUGAAAUAGAACCUGAAACCGUGUGCCUACAACCGCUCAGAGCCCCUUAUGAGGGUGAUGAGGUGCUUUUUGUAGAACGAGCCAACGAGUUACGGUAUGUAGCAAGGUUAAGUACUUAAGGUACGGAGCCGAAGGGAAACCGAGUCUGAAUAGGGCGACUAGUUGCAUGCCGUAGACCCGAAACCGGGUGACCUAUCCAUGGCCAGGUUGAAGCGAGGGUAAAACCUCGUGGAGGACCGAACCACGUUGCUGUUGAAAAAGCAUGGGAUGAGCUGUGGAUAGCGGAGAAAUUCCAAUCGAACCCGGAGAUAGCUGGUUCUCUCCGAAAUAGCUUUAGGGCUAGCGUCGAGUAUGAGUAGUGGAGGUAGAGCACUGAAUGGGCUAGGGGGCAUAGCGCUUACCGAACCUUAUCAAACUCCGAAUGCCACAUACUUUGAGCUCGGCAGUCAGACUACGAAUGAUAAGAUCCGUGGUCAAAAGGGAAACAGCCCAGAUCGUCAGCUAAGGUCCCAAAGUGUAAGUUAAGUGGGAAAGGAUGUGAGAUUUCUAAGACAACUAGGAUGUUGGCUUAGAAGCAGCCAUUCAUUAAAAGAGUGCGUAAUAGCUCACUAGUCGAGAGAUCUUGCGCCGAAAAUGUAACGGGGCUAAACUUACCACCGAAGCUACGGGCUUGAACUUAGUUCAAGCGGUAGGAGAGCGUCGUAACCGGGCUGAAGUCGUACCGUAAGGAGCGGUGGACUGGUUACGAGUGAGAAUGUUGGCAUCAGUAGCGAGAUGUGGGUGAGAAUCCCACAGGCCGAAAACCUAAGGUUUCCUCAGGAAGGUUCGUCCGCUGAGGGUUAGUCGGGACCUAAGCCGAGGCCGAAAGGCGUAGGUGAUGGACAACUGGUUGAUAUUCCAGUACCACUACCAUCGUUAUUAUCGAUGGCGUGACGCAGGAGGAUAGUGUGUGCUAGCUAUUGGAUGCUAGUCUAAGCGUUUAGGCAGUGAGAGUAGGCAAAUCCGCUCUCAUAAUGCUGAGGCGUGAUGGGGAAGGUUCUACGGAACCGAAGUACAUGAUUCCACGCUGCCAAGAAAAGCGUCUAGAGAGAGAAGUAGUGCCCGUACCGCAAACCGACACAGGUAGGUGAGGAGAGAAUCCUAAGGCCGGCGGAAGAAUUACAGUUAAGGAACUCGGCAAAUUGACCCCGUAAGUUCGCGAGAAGGGGUGCCUACGAGAGUAGGCCGCAGAGAAUAGGCCCAAGCAACUGUUUAGCAAAAACACAGGUCUCUGCUAAAGCGUAAGCUGAUGUAUAGGGGCUGACGCCUGCCCGGUGCUGGAAGGUUAAGGGGAACACUUAGCGCAAGCGAAGGUGUGAACUUAAGCCCCAGUAAACGGCGGCCGUAACUAUAACGGUCCUAAGGUAGCGAAAUUCCUUGUCAGGUAAGUUCUGACCCGCACGAAUGGCGUAAUGACUUGGGCACUGUCUCAACUGUAAAUCCGGCGAAGUUGUAGUGCGAGUGAAGAUGCUCGCUACCCGCGAUUGGACGGAAAGACCCCGUAGAGCUUUACUGUAGCUUAGCAUUGAGUUUUGGUAUUGUCUGUACAGGAUAGGUGGGAGACUAGGAAACCAGGGCGUCAGCCUUGGUGGAGUCAACCUUGGGAUACCACCCUGACAGUACUGAAAUUCUAACUGGCGGCCAUGAAUCUGGUCACAGGACAUUGUUAGGUGGGCAGUUUGACUGGGGCGGUCGCCUCCUAAAAAGUAACGGAGGCGCCCAAAGGUUCCCUCAGAACGGUCGGAAAUCGUUCGAAGAGUGCAAAGGCAGAAGGGAGCCUGACUGCGACACCCACAAGUGGAGCAGGGACGAAAGUCGGGCUUAGUGAUCCGGUGGUACCUCGUGGGAGGGCCAUCGCUCAACGGAUAAAAGCUACCUCGGGGAUAACAGGCUGAUCUCCCCCAAGAGUCCACAUCGACGGGGAGGUUUGGCACCUCGAUGUCGGCUCGUCGCAUCCUGGGGCUGAAGUAGGUCCCAAGGGUUGGGCUGUUCGCCCAUUAAAGCGGCACGCGAGCUGGGUUCAGAACGUCGUGAGACAGUUCGGUCUCUAUCUAUCGUGGGCGUGGGAGGUUUGAGUGGUG